rnacentral:tRNA from 1 species
GGUUGUAGCUCAGCGGUAGAGUGCUUGCCUUGCAUGUGUGAAGCCCUGGGUUCGAUCCUUAGCACCA